rnacentral:misc_RNA from 1 species
AAGUCGUAACAAGGUUUCCGUAGGUGAACCUGCGGAAGGAUCAUUAACACGUAUCCACGUUAUCAAACCAAUGAGAACCGUUUUCCCGUCUCCCUGCUGCAUGAAAUGAAUUGGUAACCAGUUUGAGGGGGUGAUGGGACCGAUAAGGUCGACCUUCCUGGCACACUGAUGUUUUAAUUCGUUUAUUCGGAUGGACAUCGACAAUUGUAUUUAUGUUCUGCAGGCUAAUUCUUUAUCGCUUUGAUCCCCUCACGAUCGUGGCGGUAGGGAAGCUCUUUAAACUACAUUUACCCCCCUUUUUGCUAGUUGACUUUUUAUAUGUGUUGUUUGUUCGAUUGCUUCAUUGCAACGGGGCUCUCAGCACACGUUUAUUAAUUGAACGUUAAAAAAUACAACUCUUAGCAAUGGAUAUCUUGGUUCUC